GAACCGCCGGUCGGUGGUCAUGACGUUGGCCUCACGCGCCAACAGCAGGGACAGCGGGUCCAGAUUGGUCGAGCCGACCGUGGCCCA
rnacentral:tRNA from 1 species